rnacentral:rRNA from 1 species
UUUCCGUAGGUGAACCUGCGGAAGGAUCAUUGUCGAACCCUGCAUAGCAGAACGACCCGCGAACAUGUACUAACAACCGGGCGUCGUGGGGAUGGGGCACUUGUCCUGUCCCUGUGGCGCCUCGUCGGUGUGCGAGUCUGGUGGCCGCUUCCGGGGCCUCGAGCACGUCGCAUCGGCACAACAACAAACCCCGGCACAAAUGUGCCAAGGAAAACUAAACUUAAGAAGGGAUCGUAACACGACGCCCCGUUCGCGGGGUGCUCGUGUGGCGUGGCCUCUUUGUAAUCACAAACGACUCUCGGCAACGGAUAUCUCGGCUCACGCAUCGAUGAAGAACGUAGCAAAAUGCGAUACUUGGUGUGAAUUGCAGAAUCCCGUGAACCAUCGAGUUUUUGAACGCAAGUUGCGCCCGAAGCCUUUCGGCCGAGGGCACGUCUGCCUGGGCGUCACGCAUCGCGUCGCCCCCCACCACCCAUCCCAUACGGUGAUGCAUGGUACGGGGGCGGAGACUGGCCUCCCGUUCCCACGGUGCGGUUGGCCAAAAUCGGAGUCCCCUUCGGUGGACGCACGACUAGUGGUGGUUGACAAAACCCUCGUCUCGUGUCGUGUGUCGUCAGCCGCGAGGGAAGACCUCUUCAAAGACCCCAACGCGUCGUCUCGCGACGAUGCUUCGACCGCGACCCCAGGUCAGGCGGGACUACCC